rnacentral:rRNA from 1 species
AUUGAACGCUGGCGGCAUGCCUUACACAUGCAAGUCGAACGGCAGCACGGGUGCUUGCACCUGGUGGCGAGUGGCGAACGGGUGAGUAAUACAUCGGAACAUGUCCUGUAGUGGGGGAUAGCCCGGCGAAAGCCGGAUUAAUACCGCAUACGAUCUACGGAUGAAAGCGGGGGACCUUCGGGCCUCGCGCUAUAGGGUUGGCCGAUAGCUGAUUAGCUAGUUGGUGGGGUAAAGGCCUACCAAGGCGACGAUCAGUAGCUGGUCUGAGAGGACGACCAGCCACACUGGGACUGAGACACGGCCCAGACUCCUACGGGAGGCAGCAGUGGGGAAUUUUGGACAAUGGGCGAAAGCCUGAUCCAGCAAUGCCGCGUGUGUGAAGAAGGCCUUCGGGUUGUAAAGCAUUUUUGUCCGGAAAGAAAUCCUUGGCUCUAAUACAGUCGGGGGAUGACGGUACCGGAAGAAUAAGCACCGGCUAACUACGUG